rnacentral:lncRNA from 1 species
GCUCCAAGCGAAGGGUCUCUAGUGUCGAUCAAGAGGCUGCGAAGACCUUUUGCUUUGUGAAUGGACACGGGAAAAGAGGUCUCUUGACAGCAUCAUGCUUAAAUGACGAACCCUUUCAAUUGAAGUCUCCAUUGUUGCUCCUGAAGGUUAUUGACAUCCACUGUUAGACAUUCAUUUUUUGUCAUAUAUUGGGCAAAAUCAUGCACUAUAUCAUGCAUCUUGAAUCUAAUAUCUUCUGAUCAUACGUCUUAAAUCUUGGAAGAAAGAGCGCGCUGCUAAGACUUGAAAGUACUGCUCUCCAACAAGCUCCAUAUCUCCACCUGAAGUCUCCUUGAGGUAACCUUGAGCUAUCCACAUCUUCACCAAUUCUAUUUCCCAUCUCGUAGUCUUUUGGAAACAUGGCACAAUACAAGAAACAUCGUCUUACCACAGAAGGUAAAUCGUAGUAACUCAAAAGCAAAGGUAGAAAUAUUCCUCUUUCAACCUGAUCUCUAUCAACCUCAUCUAGCCCCACAAUUCGCUAGAUAAAACACGCUCCCACUCUUCUCUUGUUCUUUUAGACUGCAUUAGACCUCCUAAUACCUUGGCAGCUAGAGGCAAGCCCUUGCACUUGCUUGCAAUUUUUCGCCGAUAUCUGUCAAUCUUUCGCGCUCAUCUUUGCUUCUUUCCUGGAAUGCCACAUGAUUGAAUAUUGACCUGCAUAUCUCAUCGGACAAUUUCUCAAUGUUGAUCCGGUGGUCAGUUCCCAUCAUCGUUGCCACAGAAUGUUUACGAGUGGUCACUAGAAUUCUGCUUCCUGGUGCACGCCUGUGAGAGAUGGUUUCAGUUGUUCCCAUUGUCCAUGAUUUUCUGUCCAUACAUCAUCAAGGACAAGAAGGAACCUCUUUCCCUUAAUGGAUUCAGAAACCCUUUGCAAAAGGGAUUGCAAUUCAACCAAAUCGUGCCUCCCUUCAAGCUGCUCAAGGAUAGCUUUGGCUAUUCUAACCUCAUCAAAUGGAUCUGAACACACACCCAUAUCUUUUUCUCAAAAUGAGCCGUAACCUCAGCAUCAUUAAAAGCUAGUUGGGCGAGAGUUGUUUUUCCAAUUCCGCCCAGCCCUACUAGAGAGAUGACAUCCACGUCCCGUGCUUCCUGACUACUUUCCCAGCAACUUGCUUACUACAGCUUCCCUUUCAUCAUCUCGACCAUCACGAUUGAUUCAUCAACAAGGGAGGUACUUGUUAUUCGUUGGAGUUCAUCAGUGGCUCUGUACAACUCAAAGCCAUACAUAGCUCUCUCUUUGGCAAUCUCAUCCACUUUUUCACAUACUUCUUUGAUCUUGAGGGCAAUGUCGCGACGUCGACCACUUGAUUGAAACAAAAGCAAGGAGAUCCCAGGAAGGAACAUCCAUCUUCUGUAGGCUGUGAGUAUUUUCUUCAGCAUCCCCCAUUUUCCAUCUAAGAAUUGCAGAGCUCCAUUCAUCUAGCACGUCAUCCAUAUCAUAACAUACAUCUUUGAGCUUGUCUACCCAAUCUCUUACUGCCUCAUCCUUCACUUGUUUUCUAUCUGCAUCUUCAAGGACAGAGUGAAUAGCAAGGAGAUUGCUUUUCAGCUUGUCGACUUGUUUCUUCACACCCACUACUAGGUUCACCUCUUCUUGUACCUAUUAGUGUAGAAAAGAUAAGGAAGUUCAAGUAGAGGAAACAUUUCUAUGAUUUCACUGCAAAUUUUUAAUUUUAAUGUUUUGUAAUUAAUAGAUUAGCAGUAGUUGACACGUACUGUGAAAUGGAUUGGCUAUAUUAAUAAUUUAUAUAUAAAAUAUUUAUUAAAAACCUAUAUAUUAAAGAUAAUAAUAUUUCUUUUUAUCAUCAUCAUGAUGAUAUCUGUCUGCAGUCUGCUACUAACAAGAUGGAAGAUAAUGAAUCAUAAAAUUGUUCGACGUCAAACCUAUAAAUAACAUAAGCUUGCUGGAUCAAAGAAAUAUAGAGUAUAAAAGGAUCUGUAUUUGUUGGUAUUUGUAAAGUCUAUAGUUUUAAAGUGAAAAUAUUCUUCCUUUAUAACACUCACUAAUUAUUUUAACAUUUGAUUGAUUAUUUUACAGUUUAAUGAGAGGAUCGACAACUCCCUUUUCCUUCUAAGAAUAUUUGUUUUAGAUUAUUUCCGGAAAUAUGAAAAAUAAUAAUAUAAUAAAGAGAAAUUUCUUUAAUAAAAUACAAAUCUAGAUCUGAGGAUUUGAUAUUUUAUUUUAUUUUUCUUAUAAAGGAAGAAAAAAGACUUCAUUUUUAUAUUUCUUAUUCAUGUUAGGGCUAAUCAGAUCAUUGCAAAUUGUACGAAGUAAUUACCUCUUGAGCAACAAUCCUCGUUAACUGCUCCAAAAUUGGCGAUAAAAGUGCCGCUGCCAUCUGUCUGUUUAAUUUAAUUUAAUUUAAUUAUUUUUGAAAAAGAGACAAUGAUGAUAGGAUGAACUAAGAAAGAGAGAGAAGAGAGUCUGAGUGGAAGGAGGCUGCUGGUUUAUUAGUUAGUUUAUGUACUUAGGGUUUGGUGUGGAGGGUUGAGUUUUGUUUCAGUCCCUGUACUGUUUCUAACACUUCGAUUCAGUCCCUAUAUUAUUGUAGCUUUUCAGUCUAGUCCUGGUUGUAUGUUUCUACUGAGAAUGACAUGCCAUUUUGAGUUCCAAAGGUGAAAUACUCGUGCUUUUCUAACUUUUCCUGGCUAAGGAUUAUUAUUUGUGGAAAGUAAUUUCUUCUUCGAUAUAUAGCAGUUAUUUUGGAUUGAUACUGACCUUAGGUUAAGAAUGCUGAAGUUUCUAUUGAUUAUAGCAAUCUACUGAAAUCCCUGCUUCUCGUCUGCUUCUCUAUUUCUUCUCUUCAUUUUAUGUUAUUCCACUAAUCUUCCAAACUGGAUCAUGGUAAUAUAUAUCUGUCCAUCCAAACUAAUUUACACAAACCAAAAGUAGUAACCAAUUAGUUCUUGUGUAAUGGAAAUACAAACAAGCAUCUAUCUAUCUGGGUUUUUGAGAUCUGGUGAUUUUAUCCUGUUUUCAUAGCAGGGACUGGGGUUUGAUAUUGAUCUUUGAUUUUUGGGUCCGAAAAUGGAUGGUCCAGAUUUGUUGAGGUUGUAUGAUUGGAUUUGUUGAUGGUGCUUGAGAUGAUGCUGUAAAGUAUUUUCUUAUAUAUUUUCUGAUUUUCUGGAGGAAAGGAAAGGACUACAUCACCUUCCUAUCGAUUUUUCUAUCUGCAUCCAUAUACAUUUUGCAAUUAAGUCAUUAUGCUUUAAACUCAUUCCAUGUGCCUUCCCUUACAAGAAAAAAAAGAAAAAGAAAAAACAAGCCCAGGGUACUCAGCUUGGGCUUGGGUUCCCUCAUUAUGACUUGGUGAAUUGGGCAAUCUAAAUACUUUUGGGCUCUGUUUUAAUGGGUUCCAAGGGGAAGAAAACACAACGAUUCUUGAACAAGGAUUUGUGUCCCGUGCGCACUUGAACGAUGGGGGUCUGUUUGCAUUUUGUCAAAAGAGAUGAAAUUCUAAUCAAUGAUGAUGAUGAAAAAAAUAAAUAUAUAAAUUACUAUGUGCAUUCUAUAAUUUAGUUAUAUAAUAUAGUAGAUCUUUACAAAUUAGUAAUUUCAACUUACCAGUAGAAAAAUUAUAGUAGAUCUUUACCAUGAUAUUAUCGAAAUAAAUAAAUAAAUAAAAAUAGAUACACUUCAACACGUCCAUACACUCUUUACCAUGAUAUUAUGUAAAAUGUUAUUCUGAAGUGCCAAGACGGCUUCCUUGAAUUGCAAUAGUAUUUCGAUGUCUUGGUAGUUGAAUUUUUCUCAAUGAGCUCCAGGAAACUCUGUAAUUCUGAUUCUUGCCACCAAGUAACUUCAGGGCAGUCUGGAAAGGAUUUUCAAUGUACUUAUGUUCUUGAUGGAAUCUAAUUAUAAUUCUUAAAAACUUUUCAAUGUACUUCUGGCUUUUAAGCAAGCCUUGUCAGAACAAGAGUCUUGUGAUUAAAUUGUUUCUUCAACUCAAAUAGAUCCCUGAAAAUUAGAAAGGGGAGGCUUAUAAUUAAAUAAUAAAUGACACCAGGGGUAACAACUUAUACCCUGAUAAUCUACUAAUAGACUGACAUGCUGUAUCCAAGAAAUUAUUCCACCCCGUUUUUGGGCUGUGUUCAGAAAAUUAUUACAACCCAUUUUUGGGGUUCAACUUCGGUAUUGUUUAUUAUGUUGUUCGCCUUUUUUAAAUUGUGUUUUUUAAAAUAUAUUUUAUAAUCUUAAUGAAAAAAAAUAUAAAAAUAUAUUUUUAAUUAAAAAAUACUUUUAAAAAAGAUCAUAUCUUGCAUUACUAAACACACAUAUAAUAGAAUACUCGAGGGAUUUUUUUAUAAGCCAAGACUAAAUUUAUUAUUGCUAUUAUUUUAAAGUUCAUUCGUAUUUGUAUUAAACACAUACUAAUUUUCUCUUGAAAUAUGAAAGCAAAAUCCAAAAAAAAAUAAAAUGAAUGCUAAUCAAUAAAAAACAUAUGAAUUUUUUUUAUUUGAGAAUAAAGAAUUUUUUAAAUUUUUUUAUAAAUUAAUUAAAAUUAACCAUUAUUUACAUUAUUUAAGAGCAUUAAAGAAAUUUUUUAAAAAAACUUAACAAAUCUAAAAUUAGAAGUUAUUGUAGUUCUAAAUACUUCCGAGUAUUUAAUUAAUUUUAUUUUUGGAUAUGUUUUUAAAAUAUAUUUUAUUUAAAAAAUAUUAUAUUAAGUUUUUAAAUAUUUUUAAUGAUUUUUAUGUAUUAAUAUUAAAAUGGCAUGUCAUUCUCAGUAGAAACAUACAAUUAAAUUUCAUUAACAGCCAUCUCAAGUUCUAUACUAUCUUGCAAGUUGUAUAACAUCAAUGAAAAAUUUUUUAUUUAAAGGGGUUAAAAUGACAUCUUUUUACCAAAAUUGUUUUUUCUAAAAAAAAUUCAAUAAUAUUUAACCAAGUUUUACCCGAGUCCAUAUAAUUUGAAAGUAAUAAAUCAUAUCAAAUUUCUUUAAAUUAUUAAAUUGGAUCCUUAAUUUUUAAUUUGUCAAAUUAUUAAAUUGGAUCUUCAAUCUCUUUUAUAGGGGGUUUGGUAUCACUGCAUAACUUAAUUAUGACACUAUAUAUAGUGAUCAUUUGUGAUAAUUCUGUUGCAGAUUGAAAAUAUUUAGCGACACUAAAAGUGUCGUUAAAUAUGAGAGCCAUUACAUGUUGUUUUUUGUUUUUUGUAGUGCAACGAUAGUAAAACAUGAUGUUAAUUUUAGCAACACACCGUGACCAAAUGCAACGAAGAGAGUCGAAACCUAAUAAUCAAAGAAAAUUAGAUAUUCUAAAAUUGAUAUUGGAUUUUUAAAGAUUCAGAUAUUAGGUUAACAUCACAUUUACUAUAACCUUUUAAAUAAAAAAUUAUCAUUGUUUAUGUUUUUCUAAAUUAUUUUAUGCUAUUAUAUUUUUAUUUAUAAUUUAUUUAAGAAUAGACACCGGUUUCUUAGAAUAAAAAACUUGUAAAAUUUUUUGUCAUCCCUAAAAACCAAAGAGUCCAUAGCUUGUCAUUUUAUGACACUAGCCUUGCUAUGUAUAUACAUAAUCUCCACGGUUUUAAAAACCAAUCUCUAAAAUAGGAGAUUUCAUUAAUUUUUUUACAUUAAUCCCUGAAGACAUGCAGUAGAUUUUGUAAUUUCUUGAAUUUUAAUAAAAACUUUGAUGUUAAUCCCUUAAGAUAGAAGAUUUCAUCACUUUUUAAGAUUUAAUGAAAAUUUUGAUGAUAUUCACUAAAAUAGAAGAUUUCAUCAAUUGUUUCUUUGGCUGCUUAUCCAAGAUAAAGUCUUCAUCCGUGAUUUCUUGUUUCAGCAUGAUUUCUUUUCUCUUCAGCAAGCUAGAUGUAUGUUUUGUAAAAGAAGAUUUGAAACUUCAAGCCAUCUCUUCAUUCAUUGUGUUUUUGCCUGGAAGUUAUGAAUGAAAUUCCUAUUUUGGUGGGGGAAUUAGUGAUUCUUUCCCAAAUUCUAUUGAUGAUAUAAUCUACAAAUGAUGCAAGGAAAAUUUCAGAAUCUUUCAUGAUGACAACUUCUCUUUUCUUGUAUUGCAUGGAGUCUAUGGCUACAUUGAAAUGAUGUAAUCUUCAAUGAUGCUAUUCCAGAUCUUAAGGGUUGUUUUUACUUUAUCGAUCCUCCACAGGUUCUCCUUAUGGUUGAAGUUUGAUAGCACAACUUUUGCUUACACCGGUUUGGAUUUAGGGAUCAACUCUGAUGGGAUCUUUUUCGGGGAUAACAGAAGUUGACUUCUUGUUUUUAUCUAUUGUCUGGUCCCUGUUUUCUUCUUCCUGUUAUAGAGUAGAUACCGUGAUUUAGGGAUCAACUAAGGUUCACUGUUGGUUUCUAUGCAAGGCAAGAUUGAAAGUUCUGUGAAUAUAUGAGUUGGAAGGUUAGAGUAAAUGCUGGAUGGUAUUUUUGAUUUUUCCCUCUCAAUGGCGCUGCUCACCAAUAGCUCGGGUGUAUUUGUGCUGAUGGAGAUGGAACCGAAGCGUAUAUAUUGGCUUUUUUUACUUGCUAAAGAUGGCUAACUCAGUAACAGAAGAGAUUUUCUAUUUCAGCAUGACUACCUUACCCUUAAGGAAUCAAGAUGUGCUUCAUGCAAUAAAAGCUUGGAAUCUUCAAUUCACUUCUUCAUUUAGUAUCACUUCACUUUGAAUAUAUGGAUGAAAUUGCUUUUUAAUCAGGGCUUUUGUAGUGCUUUUUCAAAAUAUAUUGACAAUAUGUGUUACCAAUGGUCUUCCAUGGUUAAAGACAAGCAACAAAAUCUCUUAUAACAGCUUAUUUUCUCAUGUAUUGUAUGGAAUAUGUGGCUCCACUGAAAUGAUGUCAUUUUUAAUGACGCUGCCCCUAACCUUCAAAUCUAUUUUUUCAUGAUGCGUCAAAGUAUUGCUUCAUGGCUGAGGCUUCAUUCUAGCUUUUUAAAGCUUAAUAUAGAGAAUGUUCAGUAGGGAGGAAAUGAUUUUUUAUGUUUUUUAUUUGUUCCUCCUAAUUGUUACGCUCCCUUGUUUCAUGCAGCAGCUUUUAUGCUUUUUUUUUUCUUUAUUUAUUCAUCUAAUGUAAAUUAUGCUAUUAUCUUAAUACCCAUUUUCUUAAUAAAAAUUUCGAUUAUUACCAAAAAAAAAGAUGGCUAACUGUAAUUAGAAUGAUGGUAAAUGUUUCUUCUUUUCACAGUAACAAAUCUCUGAGACCUUACAUCUCUAGUUAAUUAUAACUACCUUACCGGUCAAAAUGUUCUUUUUCUGUACCUGAUGAGUGAUAUUAUUUCUGAGAUUUUUGAACAUGUAAUGACGGAAGCCUGCGUUGGACUGGUUCUCUUUGUUACGUUACUGGAGUCGCAAUGUUUCGAGUUAUCGGACCAAAUUAAUUCUCUUUCUUUUUGCAGCAAAGCUGUAUCUCUUGCUACUUGCUAGAGGCGUAAUCCCAGGCUACCACUGUUUUGGUGUUGCCUCUCUCACCAUUGUUAUUAGGUUGAAUUAAAUACCAGAAGAUUUCUGGAUGUGUAAUGACUGUAUGAUUAAACUUACCAAUGCACUGUCAAGGCUGUGGCGCGUCAACUGCAUGUGCCGGCGGGCGUCACCAUUGUUCCACCAUGUGCCGUUGUAGCCACUAAGUGGCCAAGAUUUUUUAAAUGAGAAGGUAAAUUACUAAUAAAUAUUUGAUAUUAUGUAUUAUGUAUACAUGCAUUAUAUAGAAAAAUCAAUUUGAAAUAUAUGUACUAACUCAUAUUAAAUGAAAUUAAUUUAAGAGUACUUUUAAAAUGAUAAAAAAAUUACAUUAUAAUUGUUCUUUUCGGGUUUUUAUAUUUUGAAACUGUUUCAUAAUAACUUCAUUAUCAAUCUCAUUAAAGAUAUUUUUCUAAAUUUAUAUAAUUAAAUUGUCAUUUAUCCACUUAUCUCCUAUCUUAUAUUGCAAUCUACUCUUGAAAACAUUCAUGACAGAUAAAACUAUUUUCACUAUAGCAGUUACAACUAGUAAAAAUAAUGACAAUUUGAUAAGUAUAUAUACCAAUAAAAAUAUUAAAUUCUUCUUUGUUUUUACCAUUUAAUUUCUCCUCAAGACUAGCGGCAAUAAAAAGUUCUCUCUGACUAGAAAGUUUCAAAUGGUAGAAGGUAAACUCUUUAAUAUUACAGAGGAGCUAAUGAAUCAAAGAAUCGAACAUAGAAAGUUUUGAUGGUAUAAACACAAACCACGGAAGCAGCAAUAAAAAGUGCUCUCUGGCUCUAUGGUUUCCUUCUUUAUAUGCGUUGAUUAGUUUUUUUUUUUGCCAUAGAAUAAAAUCAUCAGAUGUCCCUUUACUUCUUUAUCUGUUAAACAUGAAUAAAAGAAAAAUUUGAGACAACCAGCUUAUAAUUCAAACACCAAAAGUGUUUUUUAAUAGAUUCAAAGAUUAAAAAAAAUUACUUUGAACUUUGCAAGGAGAGAAUGUAGAUAGUCACAGUAGAACACAUUAAUAUAUUGUCUCUUGAUUUUUUAUCUUUUACAAAAUAUAACUUAAGUUAUUAUAUUAAUAUUUUAACGUAAAAAUUAAUUUUUUUUUUAAAAGAAGGGGGCAGCUGGCCCCUUAUGCCCCAGUGGCUCCGCCCCUGGCAGCCACCACCAAUUCCAGCAGCUCCAGCUUUUUUCUCCAUUUCCUCAUGUCCAAAUUUCAAGCUCAGCAUGACAUUUUGAGUUUAUUUUUCAUGAAUUAUGUUUGUAUUUUGACAAAUCCAACAAUUAUGAUUUGAUUUAGUUGUUUCUGGUUAUGGGACACAAUGUGGUUUUUUUUAUUAAAAACAAAAAACAGAGAGAAUGCAAGAAAGAAAGUCACAGCUACAUUUGAUAGAAUAAAUGUAAGUAGGAAAUAAAAUCCAACUCAAGAAUAGUUACAAAUGAGUUCAAUCCAUUUACAGAAAAAGGGUAUAUAAAAUAUAUUGGUCUGAAGAAUCCUCUGUCUGGAAGUUCUUUGAAUGGGGCUGUGAUGGCAUUUAGAAAGCAGAGGAACUAGGGGGCUUGUAGCAGAAAUCAUAUUUAUUGUUGAAGAUUUUUUUGUGUUCGGUUUAGAUAACUUUAUUUGGAUUUAAUCCACAAUGGGUAUCAUCUCUUAUAGAUGAAUGGUUAAGCUUCCAAGUCUACCAUUCUCUCAUGUAUUUGGAUUUAAUCCACUGAAACUGAGGUUUAAGAAUUUCUUGUUGUGAAUUGCAGAAAACAGUUGAUUGAUCUUCACUAGGAUGGCAAUUGGAAAUGAAUGGAGGAAGCAUCAAGAUCAGUGGCUUGUUUGAAGGCAGAUAGACCCUUUGAUCGUGAGAUGAUGCCUUUAGAUGAGAAAGGAUGUGAGAAAGGUAUAUCACAGCUGCAUUUGAUAGAAUAAAUGGUAAGUAGUUUGUUUUUUAAUUAAGUAUUUCAAUAUGGCAAAGAUAGGGUGUAAUUUACCAUACUUUAGUCUUAUUCCAUUCAAUAUAAUUAUGGAUACUAUAGAGCAUAUACGUACUUUGAUCUUAAUUAGUCCUUGGCUUAAAACGAAUUUGGUGCAGAUACAGAUUCUAAAGACGUCCAACUCCAACAAGCCCUAAAAGGACAUCAUUGGAUAAAUACCAAGGAGCUUGUGCAUGAGCAUUGUUUUGUUCACUCUGUGGCAGAGGCCUCUCCACAACUUCUCAGCAGGAAAGCUAUUAUUUAAGUUGCAACGCAGUGCGGUUCUAUAAACUAACUAGUUUAUAGCAAUUGCAAAUGAAUGGACCCUUUGAUCGUUAGAUUAUGCCUUUAGAUGAGGCUCGACAUUAUAGAGGCAUAAAAGAGAGAGAGAUACAUCACAGCUGCUUUUGAUAGAGUAAACAGGUCACAUAUUAUUUACACUCAACCUUAGCAAACACCAAAGCAAAUAAUUAAUACACUCAAAGCGAAAAAAUAAUGUGAGAAAUCUUUUACCAAACUGCACCCAUCUUCUCAUCCCCGUAACGAUUCGUUAGAAUGGGGCUCCUUCUUAUGAUUAAUUCCUGUAGAGGCGCUGCCAAAACAUAGUCUGGUAGUGCUCUCAACAACGGGCAAGUAUCAAUAAUCAACUCUUGAAGUUGUGUUGGCAUCUUCUUCUCCCACUCUCCUUUCAAUUCCAUCCCACUCUUCUACUUCUGUGAGAUCCAUAAUCCAAAGUUUUUUCAAUUUGGGGAAAGCAGUGACCCUUGCAAUUUCUCCUUCACUAAUACUGGCAUUCUCAUCUUUUUCUAUACCUAAAAAUCCAGCAUCCAGCCUUCUCACCUUCAUCGACCUCAAUACCAGGCUUUCAUGGUUGGGCAAUCUUCCCAACGGAGGCAAGACCUCCACGUUUGUACAAAGACCGAGUGUAAGCACCUGUAAUCUGGUUAAUGUCAUCAUCCAAUUUGGCAAAUCCAACCCUCCGUACCUAGUUAUGGUUAGAUUUUCCAAGGAUGACGGAGGCUGUAAAACUUCAAUUAAAAUGUUGUUCUCCCGGUUGAAGUUGAAAUCCAAUUGCAAACAAAGUAGGCGAUUCUUAUUCUUGAGUUGUACUUCUUUCAUUGUCUUUUUCUACUCUUUCAUAAUUUAAGGCACUUCUUUCUUCUUUUAGCUAGAAACAUAAUGCAGAUGCAGAGAGUGAAGAGUCGACAUGCAGAUGCAGGAACAUAGGAAGAGAGUUGUUUGGUUACUAAAAUAAGGGCUAGGGUUAUGAAAUCUGGAAAUUGAAAUUCGGAUCGAAAUUAGUGAGGAAAUCAGCAUGCUAGAUUCAGCAGCGUUUGGGGUCAGAAUGGCAUUGUUGGGAAUAAGACAACAAAUUAUGCGUAGCUUAGCAGCCAUUGUUGCUGCUUCAGGAACACCAAACUCCCUUGUCAAAAAACUGCAUUCAUAUGCAUUUUGCAAUUAAGGCAUUAUGCUUUAAACUCAUUCUAUUUGCCUUCCCUCACACAAAAAAGAAAAAAAAAAGGUUAUUUGCUGUCGUCACUGGAUUAGUUUCAAACCCAAAAGUCUCGUUGCGUUCUGUUUCAAUUCAGUCAGUCUUUAUUAGUCAAUGCUUCGCUGCACUGAAAAAACACCAUAUGCACCUCAUUGCAGAGUGAGGUCAUAUGUCCUACAAAAAUGGAUUUUGAACAUAAUAAUUAGAAGGAAAAAAAAAUUAAAAGUGAGCAUAAUUGAUCAUCGUGGAUAUAAUAAUAAUAUUUAAUAAAAUGAAUUAGCUUGUUAACUCCUAGAAGUUUUUAUAAAAACUAAUCUUGAAGUACAAGUAAUCCCUUCGCUCAUCAACUUCGCUGUGAAAAAGCCCAGAGUACUCAGCUUGGGCUUGUGUUCCCUCAUUAUGACUUGGUGAAUUGGGCAAUCUAAAUACUUUUGGGCUCUGUGUUUUAAUGGGUUCCAAGGGGAAGAAAACACAACGAUUCUUGAACAAGGAUUUGUGUCCCGUGCGCACUUGAACGAUGGGGGUCUGUUUGCAUUUUGUCAAAAGAGAUGAAAUUCUAAUCAAUGAUGAUGAUGAAAAAAAUAAAUAUAUAAAUUACUAUGUGCAUUCUAUAAUUUAGUUAUAUAAUAUAGUAGAUCUUUACAAAUUAGUAAUUUCAACUUACCAGUAGAAAAAUUAUAGUAGAUCUUUACCAUGAUAUUAUCGAAAUAAAUAAAUAAAUAAAAAUAGAUACACUUCAACACGUCCAUACACUCCUUUUUUAAAAAAUAAUUAUAAUAAAAUUAAUUAGUUAUUAAUUAUAAAAAUCAGACCUAUGAGUUAUGUCUAAGCUGUUGAAAAUAGUAAAGAUAAAGUAAUUAGAAGUGACAAUGAAAUUAUUAGUUGAUCAUCGAGUUGUUUUACUAGAAUCCAAAUCACUUAGCUCAAAUUACUAAUAACAAUUAUAAAUUUACACCAAAUUUGAACAAAUUUCUACCAGCCGAUGUGACUAAACUCAAAUCACUCCUAGGAAUCUUAAUAUAAACCCAUUUACUACUAGACCAGCACCUCUUUGGCUAAAAUCCACGUUGCUUUCCCACACCAAUCAUCAGCUUCUUCAAUUACAGUGCUACAAGUCCAUGUCUCUAUACCUAUUGUAACAUAUUCUACAAACAUACUGUUUUACUGUAGACUGCAAUGUUUUAAGUGUUUUUUUUUUAUUAAGUUGUUUUAUUUUUUUUAACGGUUUUUUUUAUGUCUUUCAGAAUAUUUUUUUUGCUUCGUUCUUUGUUUUUUUUUCUUUUAACAAAAGUUUUUUGUUUAAUUUAGUUUAUUAAUGUUUAAUUUUUUUAUUUAUUUAUCAGACUUUCAUGAUACAUUUUCCAGAUUUAACGGGUUAACCUGGUUUGACAAGUUAACCCAUAAUUUUUUUUUUUGCUUUUUUUAAAUUAAUUUUUUUGCUUUAGUUUAUUUUAUUAAUGUUAAAUUUCUUUCUAUUUAGUUAUCAGACUUUCAUGACAUAUAUCUAGAGUUUCACGGGUUAACACGGUUUGACGGGUUAACAUGGAUUUUUUAUUAUUUUUUUCUUUUUAAUUAAUUUUUUUCGUUUAGUUCAGUUUGUUAAUGUUCACUUUUUUUUUUAUUUCGUUACCAUACAUUCAUGACACAGAUCCCGGGUUUAACGGGUUAACCUGGUUUGACAAGUUAACCUGAAAUUUUUUUUUUUUGCUUUUUUUUUUUUAAAUUUAGUUUAGUUUGUUAAUGUUAAAUUUCUUUCUAUUUAGUUUUUUUUUCUUCAUAGAGGUUUUUUUCUUUUAUUUUUUCUUUUUAAUUAAUUUAGUUUAUUAAUAUUAAAUAUUUUUCUAAUUAGUUCUCGGCUAAUGCCUUUAGUUUUUCUUUUUGUUUCUUUUUGUUGUUUUUUUGCCUUUGACUGUGGACUGCACAAUGCAGUCCACAAUAAAAAGGUUGAUGCCUUUUGUUUUUUUUUUCUUUUUAAUUAAUUUUUUUUGUUUAAUUUAAAUUAUUAAUGUUAAAUUUUUUUUCUAUUUAGUUAUCAAACUUUCAUGAUACGAAUUCUGAGUUUGACAUGUUAACCUGAUUUGACGAGUUAGCCCAGUCAACUCAAUGAAUCACACAGAUAAAUUACACGGAAUCAGUAAAAUCAAAAUAAAACGUGUUAAUCUACUUUCUUAUGUUAUGAAAGGAGAUGAAUCCAACAAAAACAUAAUAAGCCACAGUUAAUUUUUUUAUCUUUGAGAUAAAAAAAUAUUUUUGAAAAAAUUAAAUUUUUUAUUAAUUUAUAAUUUAUUUAUAUUUUAAAAUAAUUUUAAUGUAUUAAUAUUAAAAAUUAAUUUUUAAAAACAAAAUUUUAAUUAUUUUUAAAUAAAAAUAUUUUAAAAAAUAAUUAUUAUUUUAAUACCAAAAACGCUUUUGCCUGCUUGGGAGUUAUGGUUGCGGUUGCUUUUCAAAAUGUUUUUUAUUUAAAAAUGUAUUAAAAUGAUGUUUUUUUUAUUUUUUUAAAAUUAAUUUUUAUAUCAGUGCAUCAAAAUAAUCUGAAAAAACUAAAAAAAUAUUAAUUUAAAUAAAAGAAAAAAAUUAAAAUUAAAUAAAUAUUUUUCAAAACGUUUUUAAAACAUAAAAACAAAUAGAAAUAAAUGCUAAAAUAGGAAAACAAACCAACUCUUUAUUAAAUGACAUUAUUUUUGAGAUUUUAUAUAUAUAUAUAUAUAUAUAUAAAAACUUUGGUGGACACACCAAUCAAUCCAUUCGAUUGGCCACCCAAUCUUGGGCAAGAUCGACCGUGGGUUGUAUCUUAUUACUAUGGUGAUAAGUAAUCACUCGAAAGUUCAAAACUAGCUUGACCCAUAAGAAUAUAUAUCGGAAUAAGUUAAGACUAUGAUGCCAACUUUAUUUUUUUAAAAAAAUAAAAGGCAUAAAUCAUUAAUAAAAAUCUAAAAGGUAUGAAAUUUUUAUUAUGUGUGUACCAUUGUUCACCCUUCCAUAUUUUAUUAUAGAUAAUCUAUUGUUUAAAAUUUUGUCUUUUUAAUCUGGGCCUUGAUUUUUUUUACACGAUUGCAUUCUUUUUUAACCAAAUUAAAAAGCAACUUUAUCAAAUUCGCCGACUACUGAUAAAAUUAAAAAAGAGAGGACUAAAAUAGAAAAGGUGCAAUAAAUGGAUGAUGAUUUCAAAGUUCACACAAAAAAUCAAUUUAGUCCUCACACUUUAAAAAUUAUACAUAUUCGAUUUUUCAAUAUUUUUUUAAAUUCAAUUUUAGUAUAAAAUUUCACUUUUGUUAUAUUAUAGUUCAUGGUUUGAGAGAUAAGAGAGCAAGGUCACCGGAUUCCAAAUCUAGACAAAAAAUAUUGUUGGCGUCGAUUUUGACCAUAAAAAUGAUCGAUUUAUAUGUCAAAUGAUUUCAUUUGAUGAUGGGAUUUCAGCUUAAGUGUUUUUUACUUUAAAAAUAUAUAUGGGCUCAAGAGAUUGUUCAUUUUUGGUUGAUUUUGAGUUUUGAGAUAGUUUUUUUUAUGUCAUAGACAUGUUUAUCAAAGUUCAUAUGUUUUUUUCUAGGUAUUUUGGGUAAAAAAAAAUUAAAAAUGAGUUUUUGAAUGAAAAAACCUCAAAUCUUGAUUUUUCUGCCACCACAAUAAUCAAAAUAUGAGGAAAAUCAUACGAUGCAUCAUCUAAUUUAAUUUUCUUUCAAAAAGAAAGGAGGGGGGGGGGGACUUUGCAAUGAAAGAGAAUUAUGGGUCUAAGCAUGUGGGCCUACCUUGACAGACUUGUACACGGGCCCUAACAAGAUUAGUCGAAUGGGGUGGCUCGGCUUGUCAAGCCUAGUAACACUUGAGCUUUUUUUUUUUUUUUUUAAAUUAAUACUUUUUUAUAUUCUUUUUUUCAAGUUUAAUAUUUUAUUUAUAAUUAAAUUAAUAUAUUUUCUCUCUUUUAUUUUGUUGAUAUAGCCUCUUUAAAAUUACAAUUAUUUUUUAAUUAUUUUGUAUGCAUUUAUUUUUAAAAUAUAUUAUUAUAAUUCAUCUAUAAAUGUUUUUUGUGUUUUAUAUGAAUAAAAAAUAUUUAUUUAUUUAUUUAUAAUAUUUCUAACAUGUGUAAUCUUACAUGAUAUUGUUUUUAAUUCAAUCAAUUUUACAUGUAUUUAUUUUUAUUAUUGUUUAAUUGAAUGAAAAUUUGAUUUUGAUAAACAAUGAUAUUUAAUACAAUCAGAUGAAAUGCUUGUAUUGUAAUGUUAAAGAUCUUGAUUUAUAUAUGUUUAUCGAUAUUUCAAUUUUAUCUUUAUUUAUUGUUAAUAAUAUUUUAUUUUUUAUUUUUUUAAUACACAUUAUUCUCAAUAUAUUUGAUUAUAUUUAUGCAUCAGUUUUUUUUUAUGCUUAUAAUUUUUUUUAUGUACAAAUACAUGUUGGAAAAAUCUUCAUAUAUCAUUUUUUUAUAUAUAAAAAAUAUGUUUGAUGCACUAACACGUGAGAGCUUUCACUUUUAAUUUGCAUAAUAAAAGAUUUGUUUUUGUCCUUUUUUUUUUUAUUGAUCCUUUUAAUAUUGCACUGAUCUUAUAUUGAUUUUUACGAUUUGAUUUUAUGCCAAUGAUGGGACCUUUUAGUGCUGGGGAAAUAUUACGUGCUUGGUUGAUUCUCAAUUUUUAAUAAAAUCAAAAUCAAUUGCAUUCGUAUAAAAGAACUAGAAAUUCAGGUAUUGGAAUUGAAAGACUAAAUAAAUGUGCUAUUCCUUUUGUUUGCUAACAUUGAGAAUUGAUUUGCAUAUUCAAUGAAAAAAAAAUCAAAUUCAAUUUUAGCAGUGGAUUGAUUGCCAUGAUCUAGCUAGCAGAAUUUGCUAGUGUUUUUUUAAUUAAUUUUUUAAUUUAAUCAUUUUAUAUUUAAAUUGUUGAAAUUUGACAUAAUAAUUUUUUUGUAAUUGCUUUGUGGGGUUAUUUUAACAUUAUAACUUGAGUUAUGGUUUUAACAUACUAAUUAAAGUUGAUUCGAAUUAAUUUUUAUAUAUUGAAUUAUAUAAGAAUUGAAUUUGUAAUUAUUCUUUUGCGAGAACUUUUUUAAGCAGGUCACGCUAACCUUUUUUUUAUCUUAGCCUGCAACGGCAUAACACGAACAAUCUAUCUAGUGUUAUUACUGAAAGAUCACAUGGCCAACCCAAAAAGUUCACGAAGAACACACAAUCAAAAACGCAAAAAAACAAAAGGGUUUCUUGAAUUUCAACCAAAGAAUAUAACAAAACCGAUAAAACAAAAUAAUAAAUGUUUACUUACAGAAGAUUCAUCGACUAAAAUAGAUGGCAAUUUCUUCUCAGUUGCAAUAACAACAACGUUUGCCGCUACAACACCAAAAAAAUAAUAAAAUCAACAACAUAGUACAUUCGAAAAUGACAAGAAAAUGAGAUGGUAGAAGAAACCAAAGCGAAGAGGUCACAUAGAGUAAAUGGUAAGAAUUAACACCAAAGCAAAUAAUUAAUACACUCAGAACCAAAUCUUUUACCGUUAAGAAUUAAUACUGGUAGAAGAAUUUACCUCUAUAUCAUCAAAAUUAAUAUUUGGGAUGUGAGAAAUCUUUUGCCAAUCUUCACCCAUCUCCUCCUUCCCGUAACGUUUCCUUAGAAUGGAGCAACCAUUUAUGUAUAAUUCCUGUAGAGGCGCUGCCAAAACAUAGUCUGGUAGUGCUCUCAACAACGGGCAAUCAACAAUCAUCAACUCUCGAAGUUGUGGCAUAAUGGAUAUUAUUGAAGUUGUGUUGGCAUCCCACUCUUCUACUUCUUGGAGAUGCCAAAAACCAAGAUGUUUUAAUUUGGGGAAAGCAGUGACCCUUGCAAUUUCUCCUUCAUUAAUACUGCCAUUCUCAUCUUUUUCUAUACCUAAAAAUCCAGCAUCCAGCCUUCUCACCUUCAACGAGCUCAAUACCAGGCUUUCAAGGUUGGGCAAUCUUCCCAGCGGAGGCAAAACCUCCAGGUUUUCACAAUCAAAGAGUUCAAGCCCCUGUAAUCUGGUUAAUGUCAUCAUCCAAUUUGGCAAUUCCAACCCUCCGUAACUAGAUAUGGUUAGAUAUUCCAAGUAUGACGGAGGCUGUAAAGCUUCAAUUAAAGAGCCUUCAUUCGCUUGCAACUCUGUUUUCUCUCUGUCGAAAUACAAUCGCAAACGAAGCAGGCGCUUCUUAUUCUUGAGUUGUGCUUCUGCAGCGUCACUCGCAUCUUCUUUACCUCCUCCUAGAUUCCGUAUAGUAAGACUCCCUCCAAUGUGAUUUAAGUCUUUUAAUUCUCUUAGAUUAGCUGCUUUACUUUCAUUCUCACCACCACCACACACAAUAAACAAAUCUAAUGUUUGAAGACAUGUUAUCCUCUCUAUUCCCUUUGGUAUGAAGACCACUCCUGAACCAAAAAUCCGGAGAUGCCUCAAUUUGAUAAGUUUUCCAAUCGUCUUGGGCAAUUCCUUGAGAGACCGACAGAAAGUAACAUCUAGGGAUUGCAGAUUGCAUAAAUCACAACUGGUUUCUGGCAGGGACUCCAACUCUCCACAUUGUGCCAAAUUGAGGUGUCUCAAAUGUAUCAAUUUCCCUACCUCGUUUGGUAUUUCUUUGAUUGAAGACCCUGACAAAUUCAAUGACCUGAUGCAUGUCAACUGCUUGAACAAAUCAGGCAGUGCAGCUCCAAGCGAAGGGUCUCUAGUGUCGAUCAAGAGGCUGCGAAGACCUUUUGCUUUGUGAAUGGACUUGGGAAAAGAGGUCUCCUCUGACAGCAUCAUGCUUAAAUGACGAACCCUUUCAAUUGAAGUCUCCAUUGUUGCUUCUCCAAGUGUAUUGACAUCCACUGUUAGACAUUCAUUUUUUGUCAUAUAUUGGGCAAAAUCAUGCACUAUAUCAUGCAUCUUGAAUCUAAUAUCUUCUCGAUCAUACGUCUCAAAAUCUUGGAAGAAAGAGCGCGCUGCCAAGACUUGAAAGUACUGCUCUCCUACAAGCUCCAUAUCUCCACCUGAAGUCUCCUUGAGGUAACCUUGAGCCAUCCACAUCUUCACCAAUUCAUAUUUUCCCAUCUCGUAGUCUUUUGGAAACAUGGCACAAUACAAGAAACAUCGUCUUACCACAGAAGGUAAAUCGUAGUAACUCAAAAGCAAAGGUAUAAAUAUUCGUCUUUCAACCUGAUCUCUAUCAACCUCAUCUAGCCUCCACAGUUCGCUAGAUAAAACACGAUCCCACUCUUCUCUUGUUCUUUUAGACUGCAUUAGACCUCCUAAUACCUUGGCAGCUAGAGGCAAGCCCUUGCACUUGUUUGCAAUUUUAUCGCCGAUAUCUGUCAAUCUUUCGCGCUCAUCUUCGCUUCUUUCCUGGAAUGCCACAUGAUUGAAUAUUGACCUGCAUAUCUCAUCGGACAAUUUCUCAAUGUUGAUCCGGUGGUCAGUUCCCAUCAUCGUUGCCACAGCGUCCUUACGAGUGGUCACUAGAAUUCUGCUUCCUCGUGCACAGCCUGUGAGAGAUGGUUUCAGUUGUUCCCAUUGUCCAUGAUUUUCUGUCCAGACAUCAUCAAGGACAAGAAGGAACCUCUUUCCCUUAAUGGAUUCAGAAACCCUUCGCAAAAGGGAUUGCAAUCCUACCAAAUCAGAUGCCCUCCCUUCAAGCUCCUCCAGGAUAGCUUUGGCUAUUCUAACCUCAUCAAAUGGUUCUGAAACACACACCCAUAUCUUUUUCUCAAAAUGAGCCGUAACCUCUGAAUCAUUAUAAGCUAGUUGGGCGAGAGUUGUUUUUCCAAUUCCUCCCAGCCCUACUAGAGAGAUGACAUCCACGUCCCGUGCUUCUUGACUACUUUCAGCCAGCAACUUGCUUACAACAUUUCUCUUUUCACCAUCUCGACCAAUCACGCUUGAUUCAUCAACAAAGGAGGUAGUUGUUAGUCGCUGGAGUUCAUCAGUGGCUUUGUACAGAUCAAAGCCAUACUUAGCUCUCUGUUUGGCAAUGUCAUCCACCUUUUCACAAACUUCUUUGAUCUUCAGGGCAAUGUCGCGACGUCGAACCACUUGAUUGAAACAAAAGCAAGGAGAUCCCAGGAAGGAACAUCGUAUCUUCUGUCGGCUGUGAGUAUUUUCUUCAGCUUCCUCCAUUUUCCAUCUAAGAAUUGCAGUGCUCCAUUCAUCUAGCACGUCAUCCAUAUCAUAACAUGCAUCUUUGAGCUUGUCUACCCAAUCUCUUACAGCCUUAUCCUUCACUUGUUUUCUAUCUGCAUCUUCAAGGACAGAUUGGAUAUCAAGGAGAUUGCUUUUCAGCUUGUCACAUUGUUUCUUCACACCCACUACUAGGUUCACCUUUUCUUGUACCUAUUAGUGUACAAAGGAAAAGAAACGUUAAGCAUAGGAAACAUUUCUAUGACAAUUUCACACCCCCUACUAGGUUCACCUCUUCCUGUACCUAGCUAUUAGUGUAGAAAAGACAAGUUCAAGCAUAGGAAACAUUUCUAUUUUGUAUUAAUAUAUUUUAUUGUGAAAUGGAUUUACUAUAUUAAUAAUUUAUAUAUAAAAUAUUUAUUAUAAAUGAUAAUAUUUCUUUUUUCUUUUUAUCAUCAUGAUGAUGAUAUCAGUCUGCACUAUGCUACUGUACAAGAAGGUAUAAAAUGAAUCUUAAAUGGUAAAAUGUAAACCUGUACGUAUGUAUAUAUAUAUAUAUAUAAAGAGUUCAAUGUUCUCACGUGAGAAGGAUUUCUCCUUUGAACCGACAUAAAAUCUGGUUUUCAUUUUACAUUAAACUAUAGAUAUAUGGAUGUAUAAAGGCAAGUGAAUAAAAGGAUCUGCAUUUAUAUAUUUGUGAAGUCAAUUUAGAAAUAAAGGCAUGAUAAUAAGAUUGUGUGAUAACUAUAUAGUUUUAAUUCACACCAAAUACUCACUCGCUAAUCCUUCGAACUUUUUAUUGAUUAUUUUACCUUUAAUAGUUCAGUUUAAAGAGAAUUGGCAACUCUUGUUCAUCUUUUUUGGUUUUCUUAUAUUUGGAAUGAUAUAUUUUCUUUAGGUUAUUUUUAGAAAUAUGAAAACUAAUAAAACUAGAAAAAUAAGUCUUUAAUAAAAUCGAAAUAUAUACUUGAGGAUUUAAAAUAUUAUUUUUAUUUUUUCAAGUUAAAAGUAUUCUUUUUAUGAGAGGAAGAAAAAAGGCUUGAACGUUAUAUAUAUUUCUUAUCUGUGCUUAGGUAAAUCAGGUUAUUGCAGAUGGCAGAAAAAUACCUGUUGAGCAACGAUCGUGGUUAACUGCUCCAAGAUCGGAGAUAGAAGUGCCUCAGCCAUCGUCUGUUUAGUUCUGAUUGGAGAGAGAGAGAGAGAGAGAGAGAGAGAAGCAGUGAUGAUAGGAAGACAGAGAGAAAGAGAGGGUGAAGGGAAGGAGGCGGCUGAUUGUGAAUGGAUUAAUAUACUUGGGGUUUCUCGUUGCAGGUGGAGUUCUUGCAACUUGUAGUUUUUUUUACUAGUGAAGCUUUGUAUUUAGUGUCUCCACAGAAAAAUAUUUUUUAUUUAGUGGCUGAAAGAUUCACAAUUUAUAUUAUAAUUGAUGAUUUUUAUUCUAUGAAAGAACAACAAAUAUAAUUAAAAUAAUAUAUAAAAAUUAUUUUUUAUUAUUUUUUAUUUUAUUUCAAAGUUUAUUAAACAUAAAAUAAUGUUUCGCUUUAAUUAAUGUUUCUUAUAUACUUUGUAUGUUUAUAUUUGAUAGGUAUAGAGAUCAACAACAUUAAAAUGAUGAAUACAUCAUGAAGUUAAAAUUAGCUUCAUUGUUUUGACUUAAUUUGAUAUUGCUCCAAACCUUUUAUAUUAUAUAUUUAUAAUAAGUUAUUUGAAUAAAACUAAAUCAUACUGGUUUUUUUUACAACUCAUAUAUAAUAAAUUAAAAUAAAUAUUAUAUUUUGUUUUAUUAUUUUUGGCCAUUCCAAAAAUAUCAAGGGAAAGUCUUCAAAUGCACAGAGUAAAUCGGAACCCACAGUGAAGUAGCUCUUCAGUAUCUUCUAAGCUCAAGCUGUCAAACACAGACCAAAAGCAAACGUGUCAUAACCAAAACAACCCAAUGAAUGGUAGAUGUUAAAAUGAGCAUUCCAUUUUCUGAAUGACAAAAAUCCCAGUGCCUAGCAAUGACUUACAUAAUUAAUUAAAAUGGAUUUGUUAAAAUAUAGUAAAAUAUUAGACCGUUUAAGAAUUAACACUGUUGGGUUUCGAUAACUUUAUUUGGAUUUAAUCCAUUAAAUCAAUGGGUAUCAUCUUUUAUAGAUGAAUGGUUUAGCUUCCAAGUCUACCAUUCUCUCAUUUAUUUGGACUUAAUCCACUGAAACUGAGGUUUUAUUUGUAAGUAUACACAUCAGGCUCAAGCUUAUCUUCUUGCAUCUGCUCAAAUAUUUCUUCUGCCUUCUCACAGAGUCCCUCUCUAGCAAACGCGUUCACCAGAGCUGUGUAUGUGCAGAUAUCUGGUCUGCAUUUUUGACUUCUCAUUUCGUUAAACAACUUCAAGGCCAUGUAAGAUUGACUUGCCUGAGUACAGGAAAAAGAUUAGCAAAAUGAGUUUUUAAGGAUCCUAAACACCACUGUUGUCCAGUUAUCAGAAUUUAUAACCAUAUCCUUGAAUUUAUUCUGAUAAUUGUUUGAAAUUGAAUGCAUAUAUUUCAAGUUGUUCGUUGUAUCACUGUAGACUCGUAGACGUACGAGUUACGCGUAAUUUUCUACUGGGACCAGUGGCAUUUCAAGAAGAUCAGAUUUGCAGAAUAAUUCAGAACCAAAUACCACUGAGCUUACCUUCCCAUGAAGGUUGAUCAACAGUGUAUAGGUGUCAGUAGAGGGCUGGCAGCCAUCAUUUUUCAUUCGCUGAAAGAUCUCAAUUGCUCUUUGAGGGUUUCCAGCCUUCGUUAACCCAUCAAUAUAAGCAUUGUAUACAAUUGCACCUGGCCAAAAUUAGAGUAUACGCUCACUUUUCACUCUUGAAUGUGCAUGCAAGUGUAUCAACAGAACAGCUUGAAAAACGAAAAUCUGAGAAGUGUAAAUAAGAGAACGAAACACAAAAGCAGAACUAAUGCCCUGUAUUUCACCACCACAAAAAGAAGAGAAAUAACCCACGCAAUCUCAUAAAGGAAAGCUACAGAAGCAAGUUUGUCAUCCAGGAGCCUCUAGCCUAAUCCAGUUCCGGUCUAGCUAAAUUAGCAAGGGGUCCCUCUUGGUUUAAUCAACCAUUCUCUAAGCAUGGUGAUGUAGAUAAGGAGUAGUAAUCACUACUAUUAUAGUAGCAACAAGAAAUAUGCAGACCAUGAACCAAUCUUCUCUUUUCCUACGUUUAGUAUACUUCACCCCCGAAAAGAAAAAAUAAAUACAGCUCUGUGCAAUUAUUGAGCGAGGUUUCAAAAUUUAAAACGAAUUUAACCCCACAAAAAAUCAAUUUUUGAGGAAAAGAAUCUUAAAAGUUGAAGAAAUUUUUGUUUUAUAAGAAAUGGUUGAUCCAAUAACUUCUUGAAAAUACAAUUUCCCUAAAAGCUAAGAAGAAAUGAAUUGGUAAACACAUACUUGGAGGAAGGCUAUACUUUCGCAUAUCAACAAAGGCAGCUUCAGCUUUUUCUAACAAUCCACAUGCACAGUAAGCCUUUAUAAGAAGGGCAUAAGUGUCUUCAGUAGGGAUACACCUGGCUUGAAGAAGAUCAACAUAUGUUUCUUCUGCCUUCUUGUACAAAGAUUUUUGCCCAUAAGCAUCUAUUAGUAAAUUGUAGCACAUGACAUCUGUCUGGAAGGAGCUCUUGUACAAUAUCCAUUGACAUAUCUGGAAAUUUUAGAGUUACACCCAACAAGAUUAUUAAGAAUUAAGAACAAACGAUAUCAAAAAUGUCUAUAUAAUAAAUAGAGACAGUAAAGAGAUUUGUUUCAUUUAGUUGUAGGAAAAUGCUGGUAUAUGAGAAUUCCAAACACCAACUGCAGCACCAACCACUUAAAGGAGAUUUGAACAAUCGAGGAUUCAGUCUUAAUGGUUGAAGAGAAAAAUACUGUGCAAAAUACUGUGCCACAAAAAUAUGUGCGUGCAAGGUGGUUUAAUCCAUCGCCUACCACCUUACACUAUGAAAGAAAUAAGGCACGAUUUACUCACCAAUGCAAUCGGAUCCCAUUGUUUAUUCAAACGAAGUUGGACGGCUACAUUAAUAAGAUCAUCCCAAGUCUCGUGAGUGACAGGAAGAGUAUCAAGAGCAGCCCAAACAUUAUUCGGAUCCACUUCUUUCCGCACAAAGUUCAGAAUCUGAUGAGCAACAGGACUUAGCACGGGAAAAUUCCAUCAACAAAUCCAGAUCCAUAUUUCCAUCCUUGUCCCCUCAAAGAGCCACCUAGGUAAAUUAGACGACUUAAUAAUUAAAGCCAUAUUUGCUUGAGAGUUAUAUGUAUGAGCACAAAGUGAAUUACUCCGUAUUACAUCGUUUCCUGGACAUCUUUUUGUGAUCAAAGAUUCGCCAUUUGCCAUGUUUGUCGAUAUAGACCCUGUCGCUUUUCCACUUUUUAACAUCUCCACUACUGGAAUUCUUUUCUCUGCGUCUGAAAUGACCAUUCCGGAUUCUUGAUUCUAUAAAAAUAUGAUUCAGAGUGCAUCUAACAAGCAACCUGCAAACACUAAUCAAGUAAACACACAAUUGCCAGCAACAAAAUACACACCUCUUAAUUUAAAGCCAUUACACGGAGGAAGCAACCAAAUAAAAUCCAUAUAAAGGAUGCUUUAGACUUCAAAAUAAUUGGACAAAGAGAGACACUAAAACUACUUUUAAUCACAAUAGCAAACACAUGAAAUGCAAACCAGAAAACCUAGUUAAAAAGAAGAAGAAAAGUAGUCAACUUUCCCUUUCUAAACCAAAUAUCUUCUCCCUUUCUUCCGCAAUAAUUCUUAACUGCUGUGAGUAUAGGUUGUAUUUUCAUUACAGAAUCAAAUAUUAGUCUAAUCUAUCUGAUUAAACUACAAAAAUCAAAAUUUGCAAGAUAAACAAGGCCACAACUGUUGAAGACUGGUUAGAGUUCAACAACGAUAAGCAUAGCACUCUGACAGCUAAAACUGGUCCAUCAUCUUAAAACUUAUGAAGUCACAGUAAGACUUUUUAGAUAAUGAUGAUUGCUCGUUCAAUACAUAUGAGAGCCAACAAAAUGCUAAAAUGUUUAAUUAACAAGAACAUAAAACAAAUUAGACAUCCUCUCUCAAGUGAACGUUGAUACUUAGCAAUUCCAUUGAAACCCAUUUCUCAGAACCAGAAAUUCCAUGAAAAAGCAAUAUUAUCCAGCAAGAGGAGAAAGAACCACCAGAAUUGAAGUUAAUAAAUACAGAAAAUAACAAGGCAGCAUGAACAGCAUUAGCAGUGGCAUUGCAUUACGAAAGAGAGGAAGGAAGGACACGACUUACAUGAAAGUAUAAAAGAGGAGUUUGGAGUUGGGUAUCUGUAAACAUCCAGCAAGCAAGAAGAUAUGUGAACUGAAGAGUGUUUUCUUGGAUAAUGGACUCCGUGGGUGAAGACCAGCACUGCCAGACAAAAGUAGCUUCUGUUUUUUUCUGUUUACUAAGGGACAAAAGCCUCAAAAUAUCUCUAACGAACUUAAGGAGUCAAACAAUAGCAUUAUUGUAGCCUCGUGGUGUCUGAGGUUGCAUGGGAUUCUAUAUUGAGACAGUAGCUGAUUAUACAAUGGUUGAUUUAAAAUAACCAACACUACCUUUUUAUACAAAGUGGGAUUGAUGAGGAUAUAAAUCUACACACUCCAACAUUCAAAGUCCCAAUCUUAGAGUCAUUGAUUAGUAUAGUAACGCCUCAUUGGCAAGAACCCAAAUCACUAAGCUCAAAUUACUAAUAAAAAUUACAAAUUUACACCGAAUUUGAACAGAUUUCUACCAACCGAUGUCACUAAAGAAAACACAAAAAAAAAAAAAAAACGCAAAAAAACAAAAGGGCUUCUUGAAUUUAAACCAAAGAAUAUAACAAAACCAAUAAAAAAAAUAAUAAAUGUUUACUUACAGAAGAUUCAUCGACUAAAAUAGAUGGCAAUUUCUUCUCAGUUGCAACAACAACACCGCUUGCCGCUACAACACUAAAAAAAUAAUAAAAUCAACAACAUAGUAUCUAAGCACCCAUCAACAACAUAGUGCAUUCGAAAAUGACAAGAAAAUGAGAAAAGAGAGAGAGGGAGCUUAAAUUGCACCAACCUUUGAUUCCGAGAGAAGUUUGGCCUGAUCCAACGGCAGUCAAUGCGUGCUCAAUCUGUACUAGCUUUCCGGUAGGACUGAAAGUAGUGAGAGAAAAGGAGUACUGGCUAUCACCCAUGGUUUAUUGCUUGAAGACGCAGAGAGGAAAAACUGUGAAUGCGAGUGUGUGGGAGGGAAAGACAGGGAUAUUUACUUGGGGUUUUAACUUUGCUUUUCUCGUUGGAGAAGAAGGUGUUUUCUUACGAGGGCUUUUACAAUGGAGUAUUAUGGGAUUUUAUGACGGCAGGUUGAUCCUCUGUACAUUGAGCUCAAUGAAGGCUCGGGACCAGUUUUGUUUUCAAGUAUUAUUAACAAAUAUUUAUUUAUUUAUUAAUAUACAUAAUUUUUAAUUUAUUUAAUAACAUUUAUAUAUAAUUUUUAAUUUAUUAUAUUUUUGAACUAGAAAAAUAUAUUUAAAGAACUGCAUAUAUAAAUUUUUAUAAAAAAUAAAAUAUUUGACUCACAAUAAAUUAUCCAUAUUUUUAUUAAAAAAAUAAAGUUGGGUAAACUCUUAAUUAGGCCUUGCUACUGAAUUUUGUUGUUGAUUUGUAAUUUAAUUAUUGUUGAAGAUUUUUUGUGUUAGGUUUGGAUAACUUUAUUUGGAUUUAAUCUCCAAAAUCGAAGAGUAUCAUCACUUAUAGAUGAAUGGUUUAGCUUCUCUCAUUUAUUUGGAUUUUAAUCCACUGAAACUGAGGUUUAAGAGUUUCUUGGAUUUAAUCCACUGAAACAGUUGCUUGAUCAAGAUCAUUGGCUUGUUUGAAGGCAGAUAAAGGCAUACAAAAAAAAAGCGAGAGAGAGCGAGAAAGAGAGGAUGUGAGAAAUAAUUAUAGAUAUGAGUUACAGUAGUUGAAACAAAUGAAUUACAGAUCAUUUUAUGGUGAGAGAGAAAGAGAGAGAGAGAGAGAGAAUGUGAGAAAUAAUUAUAUCAUCUUAGAUUACAGAUCAUUUUGAGAAAAUCUAAAAGAAAGUAUCAUCUUAGAUUAAUUAUAGAUAUGAGUUACAGUAGUUGAAAUUUCAAAGGCAAUUUUUUAGAGUAAAGAGGAAAUAAUAUGUUGAGAUGAUGCGAGAGCCCAAUUACAGUAAAGAGGUCAUAUAUUAUUUACACUCAACCUUAGCAAACACCAAAGCAAAACAAAUUAAAUUAAUACACUCAAAGCAGGUUCUAAAGAGUUGUGCCAAUCUUCACCCAUCUCCUCCUUCCCGUAACGUUUCCUUAGAUUGGGGCAACUCUUUAUGUGUAACUCCUGUAGAGGCGCUGCCAAAACAUAGUCCGGUAGUUCUCUCAACAACGGGCAAUUACUAAUCAUCAACUGUCGAAGAUGUGGCAUAAUGGAUAUUAUUGAAGUUGUGAUGGCAUCUUCUUCUCCCACUGAUCUCCUUUCAAUUCCAUCCCACUCUUCUACUUCUGUGAGACUCACAAUUUGUUGUCUCCGUGGACGUACCCGGUUUUUGGGAACCACGUAAAUCUGUUGUUUGUGUUUUAUUUGUGUUUGCUUUUGGUUCAGUAUGCAUAACAAAUUGGUAUCAGAGCGUUUGGGAAGCUAGAACACUGAAAAAAACACGUUUUUCAGCUCUCGGAUCGAAGUUGCAGAAUUUUCAAAGUUCUCAGAUCUUGAUUUUGACCACCUACAGAGAUUCCUCUCGUCGAUACGAGUCCGGCAAUAUAAAGAUCAUCGAAAUCGGAGUUAAAACGAUCCCUGUAGAGCUCGCCGAAGUUUCGCCGGAAAACUGCCGGAAAAACCAGACUGCCGGAAUUCUUGCCUGAGAAGACUGCCACGUCAUCCGCCACGUCACCAAACAGUGACAGAAUAUGCUCUUGACAGAAUGAGAAUAUUCCGUUAACAGAGACAGAAUAUUCCUUUGGCAGUGACAGAAUAUUCUCUUGACAGUGACAGAAUAUUCCCUUGGAUUUGACAGAAUAUUCUUUAUCAGAGACAGAAUAUUCCUUUCCUGAGUCAACUCGGUCAGAUUUGUUUUUUGGCCAACUCAGUGAUUUUAUAUCCCGUUUUUUGGCCAAGUUAAGCUUGUUCCUAGCAUUUUCAACCGUUCCGGACGCAACCGUGGUGUCCGUUUUGUGAAACAGCACACAGAAGUUACUGUUUUGGCUCUUUUGAGCAUAAAAUUGUGUGUUUUAACAAUUUCGGGAGUCCAUUUGUAAUCUAAAGGCGUCCUAAUGGCUGAUAUUCCAGAAGAAAAAUCAGCGGGGAAUGCUAGUAUACCUCCACAAUACAUCCCGGUAUCGAAUACCAAAUUUGAGGUGGAGAAGUUUGACGGGAAAGGUAAUUUUGGCAUGUGGAAAUGUGAAGUUAUGGAUAUGCUUGUCCAAAUGAAUUUGGAUUUCACUCUAGAAGAUAAACCAAGAGGAUUUGGAUGAGAAAAGCUGGGGGAGGAUAAAUCGGUUAGCUUGCAGUUCCAUCCGACUUUGUCUUGUAAAAGAUCAAAAGUACGCCUUUUCAGAACAAAACUCUGCAAAGGAAUUAUGGCAAGCACUGGAGGACAAGUUUAUGAAGAAGAGUAUAGAGAAUCGUCUCUACUUGAAGAAAAGAAUCUUCCGUUUUCAGCACAAGAAAGGUACUUCCAUGAAUGAGCAUCUGAAUGAUUUCAAUAAAAUGAUAGCUGAUUUGAAGAAUUUAGAUGUGGAAAUAGAUGAUGAAGAUAAAGCUCUGUUAUUAUUGAAUUCACUGCCUGACACAUAUGAACAUCUCGUCACCACUUUACUGUAUGGUAAAGAAAAGAUUAAAUUCAUUGAUGUGUCCAAUGCUUUGGUGAAUAAUGAGUACCGGAAGAAGGACCAGAUUGUUCACAAGGAGUCAACGUCAGAAGCAUUGACAGUUAGAGGCAGAACAAACCCUAGAAGAUUUCGAGGGCGAGGGAGAUCUCGCUCAAAAUCUAGAGGAGAAUCAUCAAACAGGCGAUAUCUUGCAAAAGAUGAGUGUGCCUUUUGUCACAAAAAGGGGCACUGGAAGAAAGAUUGUCCAAUCAAGGGCAAUAAGGAAAAAGAUGAACCAACUGUGAACGUUGCACGAGAAGAAGAUGAACGAGACUCUGCAUUCAUGGUCUCAUCACCAGAAAAACAUUGUGGUGAAUGGAUUCUUGAUUCUGCAUGUUCUUAUCACAUGUCCCCUAACAAGCACUUAUUCUCGAGACUUGAGGAGUUCGAUGGAGGAGUUGUGUUUAUGGGCAAUAAUAAUGUUUCUGAGGUCAAAGGGAUUGGGACUAUCCAUCUGAAGAUGCAUAAUGGGGUAGUCAAGACACUAACAGAGGUACGGUAUGUACCUGACUUGAAGAAAAAUCUCUUCUCACUUGGAGUCCUAGAAUCCAGUGGUUAUAAGAUUAUCAUGCAUGGUGGAGUCCUCAGAGCAAUCCGUGGUGCAUUAGUUGUCUUAAGAGGCACGAGGAUAGGAAACUUAUAUUUCCUAGAUGGAUCUACUGUUACUGGUAUAGCAGCUGUUUCCAAAAGCCUAGAAGAUGCUGAAGCAGAUAAUUCCAGACUUUGGCACAUGCGCUUAGGGCAUGCUGGUGAAAAGGCUUUGCAAGGACUAGUCAAGCAAGGUCUAUUAAAAGGCGCCAAGACUGGGAAGCAUGGGUUCUGUGAGCAUUGUGUUCUUGGAAAACAGACAAGGGUCAAGUUUGGCACUGCAAUACACAACACAAAAGGGAUUCUAGAUUAUGUUCACACAGAUGUAUGGGGACCUUCAAAGAAUGAAUCUCUUGGAGGUAAUCGUUGGUUUGUUACUUUUAUUGAUGAUUUCUCAAGACGAGUAUGGGUGUACAUGAUGAAACACAAGGAUGAGGUCCUUGAUAUCUUUCUGAAAUGGAAGAAAAUGGUGGAGACUCAAACGGGAAGGAGAGUUAAGACUCUUCGGUCAGAUAAUGGUGGUGAGUACACUUCAGAUCCUUUCUUUGAAGUUUGCCAGGAUGAAGGGAUCAAGCGACAUUUUACUGUGCGCAAAACACCACAACAAAAUGGAGUAGCAGAACGCAUGAACCGCACAUUGGUGGAGAAAGUCCGAUGUAUGCUAUCACAUUCGGGACUAAGCAAAGUGUUCUGGGGCGAGGCAUUAAGCUAUGCCGUCAUAUUGUUAAUCGGUUACCUUCAGCAGCAUUAAAUGGAAGAACCCCCUUGGAGGUAUGGUCAGGCUCUCCUGCAAAUGAUUAUGACUCUAUGCGUAUAUUUGGUUGCUCAGCAUAUUAUCAUGUUACUGAGUUAAACUAGAUCCUAGAGCCAAGAAAGCUAUAUUUUUGGGCUUUAGUGGAGGAGUAAAAGGUUACAGACUCUGGUGUUCUGAAUCAAAGAAAGUGAUUUUGAGUAGAGAUGUCACUUUUGAUGAGUCUGGCAUGUUACAGCAGGAGAAAUCACAGGAGAAGGAAAAACAGUCUGGUGAUGCACAACAGGUGGAGUUGGAGACUUCAGUCAUCCCUAUAAAGACUGUUCAGACAAUCCCUACUGAAGGAGAUUCAGAUGAAAGUUCAGAUGAAGAGGAUGCAACAACUCCAGCAACCACACAACAAGAAUCCAUUGCAACGAGUAAACCGAAAAGAGUUAUCAAGAAACCUGCUCGGUAUUGUGACAUGGUGGCUUAUGCACUUCCAGUGAUUGAUGAUGGAAUCCCCUACACCUACAAAGAAGCAGUACAGAGUGUAGAAAGUGCAAAAUGGAAAGAGGCAAUGGAUGAAGAGAUGAAAUCUCUCCACAAGAAUCAGACUUGGGAUUUGGUACAACUCCCUAAGGAAAAGAAGACAAUUGGUUGCAAGUGGGUAUAUGCCAAGAAGGAAGGUAAUCCUGGAAAAGACAACAUCCGAUUCAAAGCAAGAUUGGUAGCAAAAGGCUAUGCUCAGAAGGAGGGGAUAGAUUAUAAUGAGGUAUUCUCUCCAGUUGUUAAGCAUUCAUCAAUUCGUAUUUUGCUAGCCUUAGUUGCACAAUUUGAUUUGGAGUUAGCCCAACUUGAUGUGAAAACUGCCUUCCUACAUGGAGAUUUGGAAGAGGAAAUUUACAUGUCUCAGCCAGAUGGUUUCAAAGUCACUGGGAAAGAGAAUUGGGCUUGUAAACUGAAGAAGUCAUUGUAUGGCUUGAAACAAUCUCCUCGCCAGUGGUAUAAGCGAUUUGAUAAGUUCAUGACAGAACAUGGAUACACACGGAGUCAGUUUGACAACUGUGUAUAUUUUCGCAGACUUCUUGAUGGUUCUUUCAUCUAUUUGCUCUUAUAUGUGGAUGAUAUGUUGAUUGCAUCAAAGAGCAAGGUGGAGAUUGAUAGACUGAAAGCUCAACUGAGAACUGAGUUUGAAAUGAAGGACCUUGGAGAAGCUAAGAAGAUUCUUGGCAUGGAGAUUCAGAGAGACAGAAGAAAAGGCACAGUCUGUUUGACACAGACCCAAUACUUGAAGAAACUUCUACAGAGAUUUGGGGUAGAUGGUAAGACCAAGCCGGUAAGCACACCUUUAGCUCCUCAUUUUAAGCUAAGUGCUUCAAUGUCUCCACGCACAGAGGAAGAGCGCAAACAUAUGGCUCAAAUUCCGUAUGCAAAUGCAGUUGGUGCAUUAAUGUAUGCAAUGGUUUGUACGAGACCAGAUAUUUCACAUGCUGUCAGUAUGGUGAGCAGGUAUAUGCAUGAUCCGGGAAAGGGUCACUGGCAGGCAGUUAAGUGGAUUCUACGGUACAUUCAUGGCACAACUGAUAUUGGUUUGAAGUUUGAGAGGGAUGAUAGACUCGAGCAAAAUUUAGUUGGUUAUGUGGAUUCGGAUUAUGCUGGUGACUUAGACAAGCGUCGUUCCACAACAGGCUAUGUGUUUACACUUGCUAAAGGGCCUGUAAGUUGGAGGUCAACUUUACAAUCAACAGUAGCUUUGUCAACAACUGAGGCAGAGUACAUGGCAGUAACAGAAGCUUUCAAGGAAGCUAUUUGGUUACAUGGGUUGAUUGAAGAUUUGGGAAUUGUUCAAGAGCACGUGGAUGUCCAUUGUGAUAGUCAAAGUGCUAUUUGUCUUGCAAAGAAUCAGGUUCAUCAUUCCCGCACCAAGCACAUCGAUGUUCGAUUUCAUUUUGUUCGAGAAAUUGUGGAUGAAGGGGAUAUUCUGCUACAGAAAAUUGUACUAUAGAUAAUCCAGCUGACAUGCUCACAAAAUGUGUCUCAGGGAUCAAGUUCCAACAUUGUUUGGACUUGGUCAACAUCUCUCGGUGUUGAGCACCUUCAGGGUGCAAUGCCAUAUGGCGCAAUGGAGGCGGCAUUGAUUAAUCACGAGUAUUGGAUGGAAAAAUCUUGCAAAGGUGGAGAUUUGUAGCAAAUUGUCAACAUUUGAAAAUUGUCAACAUUUUUCUCAACAACCCUCUCCUUUACUCAACCACUAUCAACCACCCUCUCCUUCUUUUUGACCAUUAUCACUUCUCAUCAAGGUGCUGCCAAAGCUCUCCUAUAAAGACAGAGACGAGAGAGUGCAGGGUAGAAGAGAGGAAGUGUCAAGUGCAGAGGAAGUGUGGUGAGUGCAAGUGAGUGCAACUGUGAGAGUGAAAAAUACAGAUUUGAGAGAAACACAGAGUGUUAGAGUGAAACACUGGGUUUUGUGGGGAUUGUAUUGGGGUUGAGUUGAGUGUUUGUAUUAUUCCUCCAAUAAUAUACAAUCUGUUGUCUCCGUGGACGUACCCGGUUUUGGGAAACCACGUAAAUCUGUUGUUUGUGUUUUAUUUGUGUUUGCUUUCGGUCCAGUAUACACAACACACGUUUCUACACUAACGGAGUGUAAGCACCUGUAAUCUGGUUAAUGUCAUCAUCCAAUUUGGCCAUUCCAACCCUCCGUAACUCCAUAUGAUUAGAUUUUCCAAGUCUGACGGAGGCUGUAAAGCUUCAAUUAAAAUGCCGUUCUCCUGGUUGUAGUAGAAAUCCAAUUCCAAACGAAGCAGGCGCUUCUUAUUCUUGAGUUGUGCUUCUGCAGCGUCACUCGCAUCUUCUUUACCUCCUCCUAGAUUACUUAUAAUAAGACUCCCUCCAAUGUGAUUUAAGUUUUUUAAUUCUCUUAGAUUAGCUGCUUUACUUUCAUUCUCACCACCAGCACACACAGUAAACACAUCUAAUGUUCGAAGACAUGUUAUCCUCUCUAUUCCCUUUGGUAUGAAGGCCACACCUGAAUCAUAAAUCCGGAGAUGCCUCAAUUUGAUAAGUUUUCCAAUCGCCUUGGGCAAUUCCUUGAGAGACCGACACCAAGUAACGUCUAGGGAUUGCAGAUUGCAUAAAUCACACAUGGUUUCUGGCAGGGACUCCAACUCUCCACACCAUGCCAAAUUGAGGUGUCUCAAAUGUAUCAAUUUCCCUACCUCGUUUGGUAUUUCUUUGAUUGAAGACCUUGUCAAAUUCAAUGACCUGAUGCAUGUCAACUGUUUGAACAAAUCAGGCAGUGCAGCUCCAAGCGAAGGGUCUCUAGUGCCGAUCAAGAGGCUGCGAAGACCUUUUGCUUUGUGAAUGGACUUGGGAAAAGAGCUCUCCUCUGACAGCAUCAUGCUUAAAUGACGAACCCUUUCAAUUGAAGUCUCCAUUGUUGCUUCUCCAAGUUUACUGGCAUCCACUGUUAGACAUUCAUUUUUUGUCAUAUAUUGGGCAAAAUCAUGCACUAUAUCAUGCAUCUUGAAUUUCAUUCCUUCAAACCAAUGCCUCUCAAAAUCUUGGAAGAAAGAGCGCGCUGCCAAGACUUGAAAGCACUCCUCUCCAACAAGCUCCAUAUCUCCACCUGAA